UUCUAUGCUCGCCUCCGCCAAGGCUGCCCCAAGGCGCCGCACUCCCGUCGCCGGCUACUCCCCCACCGCACCCGUCGCCGGCUGGAGACACCGACCCUCCACUAGCUGCAGACCCUCUCCUCGACAGCCCUAGCCACCGCUGCUCCCCCUCCUCGCCCAGGCCCCUGCGUCGGUGGCGCCCGACGGCUGCGCGCAGGCCCCCGCCGCAGCGACGCCCGGCCGCGCGCAGGCCCCCGUGGCAGCGACGCCCGGCCGCGCGCAGGCGCCCGCGCCGAUGGCACUCGACGGCCGCGCCCAGUUCCCCCGCGCCGGCGGCGCCCGACGGCCGCGGCGCCGCGCCUCCCUCCGUCCUCAGCGCGGACUCCAGCGCCGAGAUCAGCCGACGGCGGGCUGUUCCUGGCCGCCGCCGAACGAUUCGGCCCGUCCGCCUCGGCCUGCAUCUCCUGCCUGCGGUCCGCUGGUGCCCAACGCUGCCCACACUGGCAGCGUCGUCAACAUAGUCGUGGUUACUGAAUUAAGUAGGUUAUUAGUUGAUGGGCACUAAGUAUUUGCUAUGCACGUUGGAUUAAAUUUUCCAGGUAGUGGAGGAGAGUAAAGUAGAGUUCCUGAAGAUCCUGAAGAGUGCCAACACUAAGUUACUGAAGUUUUCAGAGUUCUAAACUGUUCUUUCAGUCCCACAAGCUCAGAAGUAUGCUUAUAAUUGAUUCCCCAGAAGCCAUUAAAAUCUGGUGUUGAAUCCAUACUAGUCACCAUCUUUCCAUUCCCAAUAUGGUGAAUUUUUGCUGAUUAGGCCUUUGGACUAUAGUAAUAAAAAGGCCAGAUGCUAUUGCUGCCAGUUAUAUCGGACAGUUCAUCAUCAAGGGUUUGUUUGGAUUCCUUUUUGGCACUCUUGCUGUUACAGUUCUUAAUCUUGCAACUGCUCCUGAGCAGGUUGUGCAGAUGUCCUUAAUGGGCUUUGCUCUCGUGAUGGUAUGUCCAAGAAAACAAAAAAGUAGCAAGACACGAACUGAAUCAACGCAGCCUUGUAAUCAGACAUCGCCAUAGACCUGUCAACAAUUUUAGCGAGGCUUAACUUGAGCUAGGAAGACACUUUGGGCCACUUUUCAUCGGAGGUCAGGAUUGCUGCCAAAUGAUCAUCCGGGCACAGGAUCCAGCUCACCUUUUCUCUUUCUCUUUUCCAUAUUCAUUCAUAACUGAUAUUGGUUCUGUCGAAGCAAAAAAUUUCAAGUACCUCGAACUCUUCUAGGAUUGCAAAAAGCUCAUGUGAAAAGAUUCUCUAUAUAGAAAUCAUUUCAUGUAUAAAGUACUGUAUGGAUGCUCUAGUGGUGUA